rnacentral:rRNA from 1 species
CACGUAGGGCGCAAGCGUUGUCCGGAAUUAUUGGGCGUAAAGAGCUCGUAGGCGGUCUGUUGCGUCCGCUGUGAAAACCCAGGGCUUAACCCUGGGCUGGCAGUGGAUACGGACAGACUAGAGGUAGGUAGGGGAGAAUGGAAUUCCCGGUGUAGCGGUGAAAUGCGCAGAUAUCGGGAGGAACACCGGUGGCGAAGGCGGUUCUCUGGGCCUUACCUGACGCUGAGGAGCGAAAGCGUGGGUAGCGAACAGG